rnacentral:rRNA from 1 species
GAGUUUGAUCGUGGCUCAGGACGAACGCUGGCGGCGUGCUUAACACAUGCAAGUCGAACGAGAAUCUACUGAAAGAGUUUUCGGACAAUGGAAGUAGAGGAAAGUGGCGGACGGGUGAGUAACGCGUGAGGAACCUGCCUUGAAGAGGGGACAACAGUUGGAAACGACUGCUAAUACCGCAUGAUGCAUAAGGGUCGCAUGAUUCUUAUGCCAAAGAUUUAUCGCUUCAAGAUGGCCUCGCGUCUGAUUAGCUAGUUGGCGGGGUAACGGCCCACCAAGGCGACGAUCAGUAGCCGGACUGAGAGGUUGAACGGCCACAUUGGGACUGAGAUACGGCCCUGACUCCUACGGGAGGCAGCAGUGGGGAAUAUUGGGCAAUGGGCGCAAGCCUGACCCAGCAACGCCGCGUGAAGGAAGAAGGCUUUCGGUAUGUAAACUUCUAUCAGCAGGGAAGAAAAUGACGGUACCUGACUAAGAAGCCCGGCUAACUACGUGCCAGCCGCCGCGGUAAU